AAUUGUUUUUUGUACUAAUAAAUAAAUUAAAAUAAUUAUUAAAUUAUUGUUAUCAUUAAAUUUUAAUAUGCAUCAUUUGAAAAAAGUCAUUAAAAAUUGUAAUCAUUUUAAAAUAAAAUGUUUUAUAUUAAAAAAAAUUUUACUUUUGAAAAAAAGACAAUCGCUUUUCUGAAGAAAAAUUAUUAUUCUCAUCUGUCAAUUAAAUUUUCGAGACUUUGAAAUUUCUAAAUUCAUGUUAAAAAAUUUGUUAAAUAAUUUAAAAAUUUCCAAACACAAAAAAUUAUCUUCAUGGCACUUUACGAUUGGUAUAAACAAUUAAAUUCUUCUAAUGACACUUUUCAAGAAGUUUUCAAAAAAUUACUCAAAACCGCAUUAACAAAGGAAGAUCAAUUUUUAUUGACACAAGAGAAAAACAAGAUAAAAAUUGAAAAAGACUUAAUAAAAUCAUGUAAAAAUAAUAAUCUGCAAUCGGGAAUAAUUAGAAAAGCUUGUGAUGAUGUUUUGAGAAGAAUGAAUAUUACUGACUCGAAUUAAGUGAGAAAUAAAUAAAAGUUGAUCUAUUAAUAGUUUUCAAGAAAAAAGAAAAAAAAAUGAUAAGCGACAAAGAAGUUUUUAGGAAUUUUCUCCUUGACACAGCAGUUGAAGAUGCACUUGAAAUUUUACUCGGGAAUUAUCCUAAAAAAACCGAUAAAUCCAAUUACAAUAUUCCAAUUCGCUAUUGGAAAUAUAAUGGUAUUUGGACAAAUGAAGAGGAAUAUUUAGAAACUUCCGGAAAGCAUUUUUUCAUGAAAAUGGCAAUAACGGCUUGGGAUUUUCUUAAUGUAUCAAACGUUUUUCGAAAAUCGUGAAAACAAAUGUGAGUUUUCAACAAAUGUAUGUGAACAUUCAAAAUACUUUCAUUAUUUGUUAGUUUUCAAUUCACAAAACUUCAUGACAAGAAAAUAUUUUUUUAUUUUUUUUUUAUCACAUUUUAAUAACUAUAUUUUUAUAUCAUUUUUAUCAUUCAAUAUCCACGAUUGCCGCGGAGAAAAAAUAAAAAUUUAAACAAAUCGAGGUUAAAAAUAGUUUUUUUUU